rnacentral:pre_miRNA from 1 species
ACAACAUUUGGACCGUCUGUCUACCAAGCAAAUUCACUCGCUCGGUGGAAGAUCUUUCUUCCGUCGU